rnacentral:rRNA from 1 species
CGUGUAGGCGGGAAAAUAAGUCAGAUGUGAAAUUCCAUGGCUCAACUGUGGCGCUGCAUCUGGAACUAUUUUUCUUGAGUGAUGGAGAGGAAAGCGGAAUUCCUAGUGUAGCGGUGAAAUGCGUAGAUAUUAGGAGGAACACCAGUGGCGAAGGCGGCUUUCUGGACAUUAACUGACGCUGAGGCGCGAAAGCGUGGGGAGCAAACA